CAAGGAUGUCUGAGAAAUCAAUGAGCUCUCAUUUUGAUCAUCUGCUAUUGUUUUGGUGAACCAUUUUGCUGCUGUUAUGUCUGAAUUUCUGCUUCCCAUUUGCAACCUCAGAAGCAAGAACUUGGGCAACUGGAUCUGAUAGAGCCUGCAGGAACAAUAGCUGAAGUAACACUUCUGGGGUUCCCUGAGGCCCAGUUGUUCACCCAUCUCUCCUCAUGGAAGAACCAUCCUUCAGGAGGGCUGCCAUCAGACCCUGGCAGUGACUGCUUCCCAGCCACCUCCUGCACCUCUCUGCUAGGUGGGAUGGGUCCUGUCACGAUCCAACAACUGAAUUCCAUGGCCUUCAUUAACUUGAAGAGAGAUCGGUCCUUGUCUGAGUAGUGUAGGCAAUAAAACCCGAAACAGCAGACAAACAAAAAAGCUGAACAAAAAGAAGUGAAUAAAAA
ensembl:lncRNA